UCCGUAGGGGGCAAGCGUUGUCCGGAUUUAUUGGGCGUAAAGAGCGUGUAGGCGGCCUGACAAGUCUGCUGUGAAAACUCGAGGCUCAACCUCGAGAUGUCGGCGGAAACUGUCUGGCUAGAGUCCGGAAGAGGAGAGUGGAAUUCCUGGUGUAGCGGUGAAAUGCGCAGAUAUCAGGAGGAACACCCGUGGCGAAGGCGGCUUCCUGGGGCCAUCCUGACACUGAGAAGCGAAAGCUAGGGGAGCGAACGGG
rnacentral:rRNA from 1 species